CAAAAUCCAAAAGUGAGCCCCCAGACAGGGAUGACCGUCCGAAUGUGUCCGCUUACUCAACUUGGAAAGGGGAAGUAAUGUAGUUUUGAAAGAGGUGUACUCAAUGUAUAACCAGCUGAUAACCAAGUGACUGAAACAGAAGAGUUUGUAUCUCAUAGUCAUUGCCUCAGUUGACCUGAACUAGAAGAUGUCAAAACAUUUCAGUGAAAUCUCAGGAAAUGAAAUCAUCACACCUGUCACAAAACAAAGACUGGAGUUCAGAGAAAGAGUUCAACACUUUGGAUAAAAUUAAUG